rnacentral:rRNA from 1 species
UACGAACUGCGCGAACGUUAUUCGGAUUCACUGGGCUUAAAGGGUGCGUAGGCUGUCUUGCAAGUAAGGUGUGAAAUUUUUCGGCUCAACCGGAAAAGUGCAUCUUAGACUGCGAGGCUGGAGUGAGUCAGGGGUGUGUGGAACUGCCAGUGGAGCGGUGAAAUGUGUUGAUAUUGGCAGGAACGCCGGUGGCGAAAGCGACACACUGGGGCUUAACUGACGCUGAGGCACGAAAGCCAGGGGAGCAAACGGG